GUUUCCCCUAGAGUUCCCUUGAACACUUCAUUAAGGACUCUAGUAUUAUAUCCAAAGUUGUUCUAUAAUGAAGUGUUUGGGGGAAUUCCCGGUGGCAC
rnacentral:pre_miRNA from 1 species